UUGAAUGCAGUAAAACUUGUGGAAGGCAUUGGAUAAUAUUUUUCUGCAUACUUCCAACUUUGUGAGCCAGUCAAGCUGAGAUGACAGCUUGGAUCCCAACUGUGGCUUAGGAUAUGCUGUGCACCAUAGAACUUCCUCCCCAUAAGACACGUUGUUUAGGAGUUA